rnacentral:rRNA from 1 species
GACGAACGCUGGCGGCGUGCUUAACACAUGCAAGUCGAACGGUGAAGCUCCAGCUUGCUGGAGUGGAUCAGUGGCGAACGGGUGAGUAACACGUGAGCAACCUGCCCCUGACUCUGGAAUAAGCGCUGGAAACGGCGUCUAAUACUGGAUACGAGAAGGGUCCGCAUGGGCACUUUCUGGAAAGUUUUUCGGUUGGGGAUGGACUCGCGGCCUAUCAGCUUGUUGGUGAGGUAAUGGCUCACCAAGGCGACGACGGGUAGCCGGCCUGAGAGGGCGACCGGCCACACUGGGACUGAGACACGGCCCAGACUCCUACGGGAGGCAGCAGUGGGGAAUAUUGCACAAUGGGCGAAAGCCUGAUGCAGCGACGCCGCGUGAGGGAUGACGGCCUUCGGGUUGUAAACCUCUUUCAGCAGGGAAGAAGCGAAAGUGACGGUACCUGCAGAAGAAGCACCGGCUAACUACGUG